rnacentral:rRNA from 1 species
AGUGAACGCUGGCGGUAGGCCUAACACAUGCAAGUCGAACGGCAGCACAGUAAGAGCUUGCCCUUACGGGUGGCGAGUGGCGGACGGGUGAGGAAUACAUCGGAAUCUACUUUUUCGUGGGGGAUAACGUAGGGAAACUUACGCUAAUACCGCAUACGACCUACGGGUGAAAGCAGGGGAUCUUCGGACCUUGCGCGAUUGAAUGAGCCGAUGUCGGAUUAGCUAGUUGGCGGGGUAAAGGCCCACCAAGGCGACGAUCCGUAGCUGGUCUGAGAGGAUGAUCAGCCAUACUGGAACUGAGACACGGUCCAGACUCCUACGGGAGGCAGCAGUGGGGAAUAUUGGACAAUGGGCGCAAGCCUGAUCCAGCCAUACCGCGUGGGUGAAGAAGGCCUUCGGGUUGUAAAGCCCUUUUGUUGGGAAAGAAAAGCAGCAGGUUAAUACCCCGCUGUUCUGACGGUACCCAAAGAAUAAGCACCGGCUAACUUCGUG